GUCAAAGAAAUAAAGGCUUACGGUGGAGACCUAGGCACUCAGAGACGAUGAAGGGCGCAGAGGCCGGCGAUACGCUUCGGGGAGCUGGGAACAAGCAUAGAUCCGAAGAUUCCCGAAUAGGGCAACCUCCUAUGGAACUCCUUUUUGAAUUCAUAGAAAAGGAAGAGGCAACCUGGUGAACUGAAACAUCUCAGUAGCCAGAGGAAAAGAAAGCAAAAGCGAUUCCCGGAGUAGCGGCGAGCGAAAUGGGAACAGCCUAAACCAUUGUGUCAAAGCAAUGGGGUUGUGGGAGUCAAAGAACUACAAAAAAUGAUGAAAGAUGAGACGAAGCAGCUGAAUCCUGCACCAAAGAUGGUGAAAGUCCAGUAGUCAAAACCUUCUCCUUUUUUUUUUGAAAAUCCCGAGUAGCAUGGGGCACGUGGAAUCCCGUGUGAAUCAGCGAGGACCACCUCGUAAGGCUAAAUACUCCUGAGUGACCGAUAGUGAAGAAGUACAGCGAUGGAAAGGUGAAAGAGAACCCCUGGAGGGGAGUGAAAAAGAACAUGAAAUCGUAAGCUGACAAGCAGUGGGAGGAUGAAGAGUCUGACCUCGUGCCUGUUGAAGAAUGAGCCGGCGACUUAUAGGAAGUGGCAAGGUUAAGGAUCUUCAUUCCGGAGCCCAAGCGAAAGCGAGUCUGAAAAGGGCGAUCGUCACUUCUUAUGGACCCGAACCUGGAUGAUCUAAUCAUGACCAGAUUGAAGCUAGGGUAACACCUAUCGGAGGAUCGAACGCACUGGUGUUGAAAAAUCAGGCGAUGAGUUGUGAUUAGCGGUGAAAUUCCAAUCGAAUUCAGAGCUAGCUGGAUCUCCCCGAAAUGCGUUGAGGCGCAGCGGCAACGAUGUCCUGUCAAAGGGUAGAGCAACUGUUUCGGUGCGGGCUGCGAAAGCGGUACCAAGUCGUGGCAAACUCCGAAUAUUUGGCAUUGGAUUCCGUGAGCCAGUGAGACUGCGGGAGAUAAGUUUCGUAGUCAAGAGGGAAACAGCCCAGACCAUCAGCUAAGGCCCCUAAAUGGAUGCUAAGUGGAAAAGGAUGUGAGAAUGCUGAAACAACCAGGAGGUUCGCUUAGAAGCAGCUACACCUUGAAAGAGUGCGUAAUAGCUCACUGGUAAAGCGUUCUUGCGCCGACAAUGGCCGGGACUAAGCAUCCUGCCGAAGCUAUGGGAUUUGUUCUUUCUUUUACCAUUUCUUCUUUCCUGCGAAGCUCUGCUCCUGGGCGAAGCCCUUCAGAAGAAAAAAGAAAAAAUGAAUCGGUAGGGGAGCGUUCAGCACUGGGUGAAGCUGAGAUGGAAAUCUUUGUGGACAGUGCUGAAGCGAGAAUGUCGGCUUGAGUAACGAAAACAUUGGUGAGAAUCCAAUGCCCCGAAAACCUAAGGGUUCCUCCACAAGGUUCGUCCAUGGGGGGUGAGUCAGGACCUAAGGCGAGGCCUUUGGCGUAGUCGAUGGCAAAGAGGUUAAUAUUCCUCUACUGAUUUUUGUGGGAACCGAGGGACGGAGAAAGCUAAGUUGGGUCUGUUUAUGGAUUGCAGUGGAAGCGCUCGAGGCAAAGAUCGAAAAAAAACGAUUCAAUCUGCUGAGACGUGAUCCCGCUUUUGAGAUUCGUCUGAAAUAGCGCCAAUGACGUUAUGCUUCCAAGAAAAGCUCGUACACCAUUUUUCAUUUAUGAAAAAAAACACAGAAAUCACCUGUACCUGAAACCGACACAGGUAGGUUGGUAGAGAAUACCAAGGGGCGCGAGAGAACUCUCUCUAAGGAACUCGGCAAACUAGCCCCGUAACUUCGGAAGAAGGGGUGCCCCCUCAACGGGGGGUCGCAGUGAAGCGUUUCUCGGAACUGUUUAUCAAAAACACAGGUCUCCGCAAAGUCGUAAGACAAUAUAUGGGGGCUGACGCCUGCCCAGUGCCGGAAGGUCAAAGAAGUUGGUUAGAGACUUUUGUCUUGAAGCUGACGACUGAAGCCCCGGUGAACGGCGGCCGUAACUAUGACGGUCCUAAGGUAGCGAAAUUCAUUGUCGAGUAAGUUUCGACCUGCACGAAAGGCGUAAUCAUGAGAAAACUGUCUCGGAGAGAGACUCGGUGAAAUAGACUUGUCCGUGAAGAUGCGGACUACUAAUACCCGGACAGAAAGACCCUAUGAAGCUUGACUGUAGCCUGGAAUUGGGUUCGGGCUUUUCUUGCGCAGACUAGGUGGGAGGCGACGAAGAUUUCCUUCCGGGGAAGUUGGAGCCAACAGUGAGAGACCACUCUGGAAAGGCUAGAAUCCUCAUGGUGAUCCUUGAAUCAGGACACUUGACAGUUUCAGGCGGGCAGUUUCUCUGGGGCGGAGACCUCAUAAAAGGUAACUGAGGUGCGCAAAGGUUCCCUCAGUCUGGACGGAAAUCAGACAUUGAGUGUAAAGGCAAAAGGGAGCUUGACUGCAAGACCUACAAGUCGAGCAGGAGCGAAAGCUGGCCUUAGUGAUCCGACGGUGCCGUGUGGAAGGGCCGUCGCUCAACGAAUAAAAGUUACUCUAGGGAUAACAGGCUGAUCUUCUCCAAGAGUUCACAUCGACGAGAAGGUUUGGCACCUCGAUGUCGGCUCAUCACAUCCUGGGGCUGUAGUAGGUCCCAAGGGUUGGGCUGUUCGCCCAUGAAAGUGGUACGUGAGCUGGGUUCAGAACGUCGUAAGACAGUUCGGUCCAUAUCCAGUAUUAGCGCUAGAAUAUUGAGGUCAAUCACUCAUAGUACGAGAGGACCUGUAGUGAACAUGCCUAUGGUGUACCUGUUAUCUUUCCAAAGGUAAACGCAGGGUAGCUAUGCAUGGAGUGAAUAAGUACUGAAUGCAUCUAAGUACGAAGUCCAGACCAAGAUGAGUAUUCUCUUUAAAGCCGCAGCAAGAUAAGCUGUUUGAUAGGUAUCAAGUGAAAGGCCAGUAAUGGUUUCAGCUGAGAUAUACUAAAGGCGAAUUGAUUUUGAC
rnacentral:rRNA from 1 species